rnacentral:tRNA from 1 species
GCGGGUUUAGCUCAGUUGGGAGAGCGUCAGACUGAAGUCCACUUCAUCGUCUCAUCUGAAGGUCAUGUGUUCGAUCCACAUAAACCGCA